GGAAGGGUAGCGAAGAGGCUAAACGCGGCGGACUGUAAAUCCGCUCCUUCGGGUUCGGGGGUUCGAAUCCCUCCCCUUC
rnacentral:tRNA from 1 species